GUGCACCAGGCGCGAAACCUCCGCAAUGCUCGAAAGAGCGACGGGGGGACUCCAAGUGCCUACGCUCAGCGUAGGCUGUUCCCGAGCCUAAAAAGCUCGGGGAGUAAGGGCUGGGUAAGACGGGUGCCAGCCGCCGCGGUAAUACCCGCAGCCCGAGUGGUGGCCGCUAUUAUUGGGCCUAAAGCGUCCGUAGCCGGCUCGGUAAAUGCCUGGGUAAAUCGGUCUGGCCCAACCAGACGAAUUCCGGGUAGACUGCCGGGCUAGGGGACCGGAGGAGGGAGAGGGUACUCCAGGGGUAGGGGUGAAAUCAGCAAGGUGAGUUGCUGAUGUAACUUGCCUUGCAAGUCACAAUCCUGUAAUCCCUGGAGGACCACCGGUGGCGAAGGCGCUCUCCUAGGACGGUCGACGGUGAGGGACGAAAGCCAGGGGAGC
rnacentral:rRNA from 1 species